ACAGACGCACGCAGUAUUGAUUCACGGUUUGCGAAACUGUCGUGCGGUACUUGGUGGCUUUCGUAUUUAUACGUGCGUAUUCCGAUAAUAUGUAGUUUUAAUGAUACAGCGCAUUAAAUAUCUAUCCAAGACCCGUUCUUUUUUGGGGUUGUGGUACAGUGCCAAGAAGUCCGGUACCGAUUUACAAAAACUGCUAACAGGCACCGACAAAAAAACUCAAAUAAUAUCUUACAUACCGGGAAUGGUGAUUCUGUCCCAACCAAACAUUGUGAGGAUGGUAGAAAUUUCUACAAAGAAAGAGAGGGAAAAUCCACCCCUUUAAGGUGAACUACAUGCAAAUAAGCUUUUCCAAGUGCCAUUGGAGAUGUUAGAAGUACCCCCUCCCAAAGCAGUUGUGCUGUGGGACCCAAACAAUGGAUAAAUAAAAGGCUUAUAUAAUAUAUCAAAUAUAUCAAGAUGUUCCAGUGCUGUUUUGAUGACGCAGCAGGUGCUGUAGGGGUCCAUCCACUGGCCAGCUGAGCUGGUGGCAGAUGACCUGGAAGACAUUGUCAAGACUGAAUUUAAUUAUUAAAAAUGUCUUGCUAAUAAAUGAACAUAAAAUUGUAUCACUUUAGUAUCUGAUGUCCAACUGUUAGCAUUAAAAAGUUGUGAUAUAUCAGAUCUAUAUGUGCUGGUGAUUGAUUGUACAUAAUAAGUUCUGAGCAGACACAGUAAGAUAGUUCAGUUGAGAGAAUUGGUUGAUACAGAAGUCUUAAUUUUGAGACUUUCUAGUUGCAUGAAGAUUAGCCAGGCAACUAUAAAUGACUAUUUUUAUAACUCAGGGAGUUUGUUAGAAGCUUAAACUGAGUUAAAUGACAAAAAAUGUUACUAUACACAGAAUAAGACUGGAAGUGUAGCAAUAUCUGUUGGCCACUGUGGCCGAGCAGUUCUAGGCACUUCAGUUCAUAACUGCACUGCUGCUAUGGUCGCAAGUUCGAAUCCUGCCUUGGGCAUGGCUGUGUUUGAUGUCCUUAGGUUAGUUUGGUUUAA